rnacentral:misc_RNA from 1 species
GAAAUGCGAUAAGUAAUGUGAAUUGCAGAAUUCAGUGAAUCAUCGAAUCUUUGAACGCACCUUGCGCUCCUUGGUAUUCCUUGGAGCAUGCCUGUUGGAGUAUCAUGAAAUCUUCAAAGUAAAUCUUUUGUUAACUCAAUUGGCUUCUACUUUGGUAUUGGAGGUCUUUGCAGCUUCACACCUGCUCCUCUUUGUUCAUUAGCUGGAUCUCAGUGUUAUGCUUGGUUCCACUCGGCGUGAUAAGUUAUCUAUCGCUGAGGACACUGUAAAAGGUGGCCAAGGUAAAUGCAGAUGAACCGCUUCUAAUAGUCCAUUGACUUGGACAAUACUUUUAUGAUCUGAUCUCAAAUCAGGUAGGACUACCCGCUGAACUUAAGC